rnacentral:rRNA from 1 species
AGAUAUCGUCAUCAGGGAGGUAGAGUAUGGUCUUGUACUAUACUUGUUAUAUCCUGUUGUCGGCGUCGUGGAUAGGACUGAGGUAUAUACAUCACAGUGUACGCCUUUACGGCUGGGUGCGUGUUGCUCUGUUCCAGGUACUCGAUUGGACUGCUCGUCAGUGCUAUUUGGUAUUCCUGUGGAUACUGUGAUGCGUUGCCCAUGUACACUCGGGAUGCUGAGGAAAUGGUUUGAUCCGGCCCGUCUUGAAACACGGACCAAGGAGUCUAACAUCUAUGCGAGUAUUCGGGUGGCAAACCCUUGUGCGCAAUGAAAGUGAAGGUUGAUGUAGGUCAACUGAGGUAGGACGGGUGGUCUAACUUGUUAGGUUGCCCCGCACUAUCGACCGGCCAUGAUCCUCUGGAAAAAGGUCUGAGUGUGAGCAUAUAUGUUGGGACCCGAAAGAUGGUGAACUAUGCCUGAAUAGGGUGAAGCCAGGGGAAACUCUGGUGGAGGCUCGUAGCGAUUCUGACGUGCAAAUCGAUCGUCAAAUUUGGGUAUAGGGGCGAAAGACUAAUCGAACCAUCUAGUAGCUGGUUCCCUCCGAAAUUUCCCUCAGGAUAGCAGUAACUCGGUCAACACAGUUUUAUCAGGUAAAGCGAAUGAUUAGAGGACUCGGGGAAGAAACUUCCUUGACCUAUUCUCAAACUUUAAAUGGGUAAGAGCACGGGGUUACUUAAUUGAACCCUGCUGUAGAAUGUGAGUUGCUAGUGGGCCAUUCCGGGUAAGCUGGACUGGCGAUGCGGGAUGAUCCGAACGUCAAGUUAAAGUGCCAAAGUGUUCGCUCACCUAGAUCCCAUAAAAGGUGUUGGUUCAUCUAG